rnacentral:rRNA from 1 species
GGUGGAGCGAUUUGUCUGGUUAAUUCCGAUAACGAACGAGACUCUAGCCUAUUAAAUAGACGCAAUAUUUGUUUGUAUUACGUCCUUCUUAGAGGGACAAGCAGCUUUUAGCUGCACGAGAUUGAGCAAUAACAGGUCUGUGAUGCCCUUAGAUGUCCGGGGCUGCACGCGCGCUACAAUGAAGGUAGCAAAGUGCUUUGAAACCAUGUCUGGAAAGACUUGGUAAACACGAAUUAUUUUCGUGCUUGGGACAGGGAAUUGCAAUUAUUUCCCUUGAACGAGGAAUUUCUAGUAAGUGUGAGUCAUAAGCUCACGUUGAAUACGUCCCUGCCCUUUGUAC